CAGGGAGAAGUCUGCUAGGACACAUGACUCUGGAUCAUGGAAUCGGGGUUCGAAUCCCUGCUUCCCAU
rnacentral:tRNA from 1 species